CAACUCUGGUUUCUCUUCAAUCACGCACAAGUUUUUCGCCUUUUACUAAAGACUUCCGUGGAGAGCAACGCUUACGAGUUCAACGUAUUUUUGGACGGGCUUGCUCCCGGCAGAGCCC
rnacentral:snRNA from 1 species